rnacentral:rRNA from 1 species
CCUACGGGUGGCAGCAGUGAGGAAUAUUGGUCAAUGGACGGAAGUCUGAACCAGCCAUGCCGCGUGCAGGAAGACGGCUCUAUGAGUUGUAAACUGCUUUUGUACAAGGGUAAACCUGAAUACGUGUAUUCAGCUGAAAGUACCGUAUGAAUAAGGAUCGGCUAACUCCGUGCCAGCAGCCGCGGUAAUACGGAGGAUCCGAGCGUUAUCCGGAUUUAUUGGGUUUAAAGGGUGCGUAGGCGGUCAGGUAAGUUAGAGGUGAAAGCUCGAUGCUCAACAUCGAAACUGCCUCUGAUACUGUCUGACUAGAGUGUAGUUGCGGAAGGCGGAAUGUGUGGUGUAGCGGUGAAAUGCUUAGAUAUCACACAGAACACCGAUUGCGAAGGCAGCUUUCCAAGCUAUUACUGACGCUGAGGCACGAAAGCGUGGGGAGCGAACAGGAUUAGAUACCCGGGUAGUC